UUCAAAUACAGUUUGUGUAUCUAUAUCCAAAAUGCUUGGAACCUGAAGAGUUUCAGAAUUUGGACGGGGAGAGGUUGAUUUUGGAAUAUUUGCAUUACAUAGUACUUACCAGUUGAGCAUCUCUGAUCCAGAAAUCCCAAAUCUGAAAUGCUCCAUUGAGCAUCAUGUUAGGCAUGUAAAAAGUUUCAGACUUUCAGAUCAGGAUAUUCAACCUGUAACCUAGUUGUGGUUUAUGUAUUUAAAUGAAUAGUCAUUUCAAACAGAUUAUCAUAGUUGUUUAAAUAAGAAGCCAUUUAUAAUAAACUUAUUUUUUCAUAAUAGUUUAAUU
rnacentral:lncRNA from 1 species